rnacentral:rRNA from 1 species
CCUACGGGUGGCAGCAGUGGGGGAUAUUGCACAAUGGGGGAAACCCUGAUGCAGCGACGCCGCGUGAGUGAAGAAGUAUUUCGGUAUGUAAAGCUCUAUCAGCAGGGAAGAAAAUGACAGUACCUGACCAAGAAGCCCCGGCUAACUCCGUGCCAGCAGCCGCGGUCAUCCGUCGGGGGCAAGCGUUCUCCGGAUUUACUGGGUGUAAAGGGAGCGUAAACGGUUAUGUAAGUCUGGAGUGAAAGCCCCGGGCCCAACCCCGGGACUGCUGUGGAAACUGUGUAACUGGAGUACAGGAGGGGCAGGCGGAAGUCCUGGUGUAGCGGUGAAAUGCGUAGAGAUCAGGAGGAACACAGGCGGCGAAGGCGGCCUGCUGGACUGAAACUGACGGUGAGGCUCGAAAGCGUGGGGAGCAAACAGGAUUAGAUACCCUGGUAGUC